UACGAAGGGGGCUAGCGUUGCUCGGAUUUACUGGGCGUAAAGGGCGUGUAGGCGGACAGUUAAGUUGGGGGUGAAAGCCCGGGGCUCAACCUCGGAAUUGCCUUCAAUACUGGCUGUCUUGAGUGUGAGAGAGGUGUGUGGAACUCCGAGUGUAGAGGUGAAAUUCGUAGAUAUUCGGAAGAACACCAGUGGCGAAGGCGACACACUGGCUCACUACUGACGCUGAGGCGCGAAAGCGUGGGGAGCAAACAGG
rnacentral:rRNA from 1 species